GACCUUUCUUUCAGGUCAUCUUUGCUUUGAACCAGACCCUCCUGCAGCAGGAGAGCCUGCGAGCAGGCAGUCUUCAGAUCCCCUACACGACGGAGGAUCUCAUCAAACACUAUAACUGCGGGGACCUCAGCUCCGUCAUCCUCAGCCAUGACAGCUCCCAGGUUCCCAAUUUUAUUAAUGCCACGCUACCACCUCAGGAGCGCAUCACUGCUCAGGAGAUUGACAGCUACUUACGCCGGGAGCUGAUCCACAAGCGGAAUGAGAGAAUAGGGAAGCGGGUGAAGGCCCUUUUGGAGGAAUUCCCUGACAAAGGCUUCUUCUUUGCCUUUGGAGCUGGUCAUUUCAUGGGCAACAACACAGUGCUGGAUGUUUUGCGGCGUGAAGGCUAUGAGGUAGAACACGCCCCUGCUGGACGACCCAUCCACAAAGGGAAGAGUAAAAAGACCUCCACACGGCCCACUCUGUCCACCAUCUUUGCUCCAAAAGUCCCUACCCUGGAAGUACCGGCACCAGAAGCCGUAUCCUCAGGGCACUCAACGCUGCCUCCCCUUGUGUCCCGGCCUGGAAGUGCCGACCCGCCCAGUGAGGCCGAGCAGAGGUUCCGGAAGAAGCGGAGGCGGUCACAGCGGAGGCCGCGACUCCGGCAAUUCAGCGAUCUGUGGGUCCGCCUGGAGGAGAGUGACAUAGUCCCGCAACUCCAGGUCCCUGUCCUGGACAGGCACAUCUCCACUGAACUGCGGCUCCCUCGCCGUGGGCAUUCCCACCACAGCCAGAUGGUGGCCAGCAGUGCCUGCCUGUCUCUCUGGACUCCUGUGUUCUGGGUGCUGGUGCUGGCUUU
rnacentral:sRNA from 1 species